UACAGGGGGGGUAAGCGUUGUUCGGAAUUACUGGGCGUAAAGCGCACGUAGGCGGCUUUGUAAGUUAGAGGUGAAAGCCCAGGGCUCAACCCUGGAAUUGCCUUUAAGACUGCAUCGCUUGAACAUCGGAGAGGUAAGUGGAAUUCCGAGUGUAGAGGUGAAAUUCGUAGAUAUUCGGAAGAACACCAGUGGCGAAGGCGACUUACUGGACGAUUGUUGACGCUGAGGUGCGAAAGCGUGGGGAGCAAACAGG
rnacentral:rRNA from 1 species